UUCCAAGUCAAUCUACUGUAGUAAUUAUUCUCUAAAUCAUUAGAAAAUAAGGCAAACACCCAGUUGUGCUUGAAAAGAAAAAAUACUGUCAAAUACCGUGAAACCGAUAUAAUUUAGAAAAAUACCGUGAUAUACAUUUUUGGUCAUACCGCCCAGCACU